AACGAACGCUGGCGGCAUGCCUAACACAUGCAAGUCGAACGAGACCUUCGGGUCUAGUGGCGCACGGGUGCGUAACGCGUGGGAACCUGCCCUUAGGUUCGGAAUAACUCCCCGAAAGGGGUGCUAAUACCGGAUAAUGUCUUCGGACCAAAGAUUUAUCGCCUUUGGAUGGGCCCGCGUUGGAUUAGCUAGUUGGUAGGGUAAAAGCCUACCAAGGCGACGAUCCAUAGCUGGUCUGAGAGGAUGAUCAGCCACACUGGGACUGAGACACGGCCCAGACUCCCACCGGCAGCCGCAAUGGGGGAAAAUUGGCCAUGGGCCAAAGCCUGAUCCCGCCAUUCCGGGUUGAUUGUUAAGGCCUUAGGGUUGUAAAGCCCCUUUAACCGGGAUGGUAAUGACCGUACCGGGAGAAUAAGCUCCGGCUAACUCCGUG
rnacentral:rRNA from 1 species